AGAGUUUGAUCAUGGCUCAGGACGAACGCUGGCGGCGUGCUUAACACAUGCAAGUCGAGCGAGACCCCUUCUUCGGGAGGGUGUUCUAGCGGCGAACGGGUGAGUAACACGUGGGCAACCUGCCCUCAGCUCUGGGAUAACUCCAAGAAAUUGGGGCUAAUACCGGAUAUGACUGCUGACCGCAUGGUCUGGUGGGGGAAAGCUUUUGCGGUGUGGGAUGGGCCCGCGGCCUAUCAGCUUGUUGGUGGGGUGAUGGCCUACCAAGGCGACGACGGGUAGCCGGCCUGAGAGGGUGUCCGGCCACACUGGGACUGAGAUACGGCCCAGACUCCUACGGGAGGCAGCAGUGGGGAAUAUUGCACAAUGGGCGCAAGCCUGAUGCAGCGACGCCGCGUGAGGGAUGACGGCCUUCGGGUUGUAAACCUCUUUCAGUACAGACGAAGCGUGAGUGACGGUAUGUACAGAAGAAGCACCGGCCAACUACGUGCCAGCAGCGGCGGUAAUAC
rnacentral:rRNA from 1 species